AUCAGGCAAUAAUUGUGGGGACCCAGAAAAGUGACUCCAACACCUGACAGCAAGGUAGAAACUGGAGGUCAGGCUUUUCUCAGCCUUGUUUUUGGCUCAGAAACUGAAGUUGCAGGAGGAAGGCUGAAGACAAGGAGCUGCCACCACCAGACCAGGGAAAGUCCCUGCACGCCAGGCUUUGUCACGAUCACCAGCCUCUCCCAGACACAGCCGGCAAAUGGGCGGUUCCCCAACAUGUGGGCAUGAGAAGAAAAGACCUUCUGUGCUGAUGCGGAGCAAAUUCCCCCACGAGUCUGUGUGGGAGGCGGGCGACUCAGAAGUUGUACUUGCAAUCUCUGCGUUCCCUCUCACCCAGUCUCCUGCAAUCUUCCUUUCUGUCUGCACCCAGCAAAAUGGUUUCUGAAUAGUAGGCUGGCAAGGCGGGCCACCUGCCAUCAGUUAGGUGGUGAUGAGAGACUAAACCAUCAACAUUCAUAAGCUCAUCUGAAGAGUGGUCUUCAAGAAGCAGGCCCCCUGGGGCACUCAAAGAGGGCCAGACAUUUGUCCUGAAGGAGAGGGGAACUCCUAUGAUGCACAUUCAUACUAACCUCAGCAAAGCUUUCUGGGCCAAAGGAAUGAGGAAUGUCCCACAUCACGUGUGGUUGCUGAGAAAUGAGCCACACAAGCUCUGUGCAUUGCUUACCUAUGCCCCUGCUGCCACUUUCAGAAAUCUACAGUCACUGUGAAUAAAAACUAAGUGCUGAUCGUCAAAUAAGUUAUACAACUUCAAAAA